ACUAAAAUCAGAGAAAGAAUUUGAACCAAAAACCUUCCUUUUUCCCUAUGUUUGCCGAACCAUUCAUCAUCAAGCUAGGGGUAUCAAUUCUCAACCAAAAUCCAUGGUUCUUGAGGCAAAUAAAUCAUAAAGCAAUGGUGAUCAAGGUAAGCUUAGGAAUUGGAAUAAACUAUGGAUAUGGAGCUUGAGUUGUUGAGUUUUGAUGAUGGAAACUUGGAGCAAGGAUUCGACCGAAUGGGUUAUUAAUCAAACUUAAGACCCGGCGAGACGAUUACUAACGGGACCCGGAACAUGAUGAAUGCGAUACCGCUUUACGAAUUCUCGAAGAUUGUGGUUAGCAAGUGUGUUUUAUUUCAGGUGAUAGUAUUUGAAGAGAUGGACUUCCAUUCUUGUUCCGGAAGUCUACAACAUAUAAAGUAUGUAUUGAAGUACGCUUCAAUUCGUAGCGCUGCAGUAGUCAGUAGAUGUCAGUCUAUAUUUGAUUAUUUGUACCGAACGAGAUCCAACUGUUAACUCUGAUUUUAUAAAAUAUAUAUACACGAUUUAUAAAACUAUAUUU